CCACACUUCAGAAGCAACCAAAGUGUCCCCAGUUAACCUUUGCGGCGAUGGAGCACUGGCUACGGAUUCUGUUAUUUAUCAACUCGUAUGGAUGCCUUUGAGCAACUGUGCCUCUGAGUAUAAAAAGGAGCCCCACCUGAAAGGAGAAGAAAGCUUUAUCACCCACCCUAUGUGUCCUCUUCCUGUGUGGGACAGAGAGAUCAGGAGAGGAGUGACCGGCUGGGAAUUGGUUUGUUUUCUGUGGCACAGAGGAUCAAAGUAAAUAUAGAAGCUUUUUUCUCUCUUGCUUUCCACUCUCACUCCCUAAGGAGAACAAUUGGCAGCAGGUUUUUAUAUCUUCUCUCUGGAAAUUAACCAAUUUUAGCUUUCCUCCCAUAUACGGAAUUAUAAUACAGUAAUGGCUGUUUGUCAUGUGCUUGCUAUGUGCCAGAGAAUGUCUUCAGCAUCUUGUAUAGACUGCAUUUUACCUCAUCCCCAGGGCAACUCUACGAAAGCCAUAUAACUUGAAUUUUCAUUCUUCACCGGGCCACAGGCACCUAGAUAAGGUACCGAAGAGACAAGGCCCAGCAACCGUGGACUGAGACCUCCGAAACUGAGCAACACAAACCUUUCUUUCCUUAAGUUAUUUUGCCUCAGAAAUAUGUUACAUUACCAGAAAACUAACAAAUGCAUACUAUUCUAUACUUACAUAGUACUUUUAAAUGAAGGAAUCUGAUGGGAGAUGUCAUUCUUUAAAUAUGUCUCUCUUACUAGUUGAUGAAUAAAACACUGUUGGCCAAUGGGGAAGCAAGAUAGGCAGGACUAGGAGACAAGGAGGAUUCUGGGAAAUGUAGUAAAGAGGAGUUGCCAUGUGAUCCUGGGAGGAGAGGAUGCAUGAGUCUGGUUUUCUUGGUAAGAUAAGACCUUGUAGAAAUACAUAUAUUAGUAGUGACAGGUUAAUACUUAAGGCGGAGCUACCCAGUAAGAACCCCUAGACAUUGGCCAAUAGCAUUAUAACUAA
rnacentral:lncRNA from 1 species